GUUCAGUGGAAUUAAAAGCAAGAACUCCAAUUUGUCUUACCUCUUUUUAGGUGUCUGACAGCUGCUCCAUCUCCUGGGGGACCUGGGUGGGGAAAGGAGGAGCCCGAGGUCUCAGGGGUGCUUCCCAUUGCGAGCUGCAGACACCCAGGUGGCAGCAGACGGGCUAUGUCACUGGUUCACAUCUACACAGAGGAAGUGACCGCAGACAAUGGAUUCCAUAUCCCUGACCUGUUCCCUUAGGCACUCCUGGUUGAAAGAGUCUGGUUCUUGGCUGUUUUCCCAGAUGCUGAACAGUGAACCCAGCUCUUCCAUCACAGGAUCCUGGUCAUGACACCCUGAC
rnacentral:lncRNA from 1 species